AUGCUGAGGAAUGCUUCCUCUGGGGUUUCGACCGGCACGGCUAUUUGUCAUGGCCUCAGAAGCUGCUUGGCUACAGAGACCUGGAAGCUUGGGGAUCUCAAGAUACACCUUGACCAGUGGAGUCUGUCUGAGCCUUGUGUAACCUUGUCACGAGACGAAAUAUUGGGUCAAAGGGCCAAAGGAUGCCAGGUGGGGGUCUUGGUGCCAUUCCCAGCCUGA
rnacentral:lncRNA from 1 species